rnacentral:piRNA from 1 species
GACAAUUUUCAGUCCAACGUGGCCCCAAG